ACUGUGUGAUUUUUGUUCUUUAGUAGAAGGAUAACAUGACAUAGCAGGAAUAAUACUGCCUUUUCUUUCUGGCAUGGAUCAAGAGAAAAGAAAAUACAAGAAAACAGACAGAAGAUCCUAUCUGCGACAAUUAAGAGCACUCUAAGAGGAAAACACAUCCCACCACACAAGGCAAGGUACUUCUAUGGAAGGGUGAGCCCUCACAGAUGGAGCAAUGGGGCGCGCACACCUGAACAAGGGAGGGGAAGGAGUUCUUAUCCCUGAUGCAUGUGACCCCUGCUGCUGUGUCCUUCCCCUAUUGGCUAAGGCUUCUGACAGCUUUGGAGAUUGUGACAUUGGAAUAAAGGAAAAACGUACAGGACUCAUGAAGCGCUGAAAUGUUCACAAAUAUCAAGCAAAAGUCAAUGAAAUUUAUUUUGAGCUAUUUACAUCAUUUAAUAAUUGAGCAAGGUAUACUCCUAUGAACAAAAUUUGGAGCAUGUUUGUCUCUCUCUGCCUGGCGUCUUCAGAAUUUGGAAACUAGUUAUGGUUUAUAAUCAGCUAUAGAAUUUUAACACGUGCUCUCAAAUGCAAGUUUCUGAUAACUUUGGAGAUUGUGACAUUGGAAUAAAGGAAGAGCUGGAAUGUUCAUGAAUAUCAAGCAAAAGUCAUGGAAAUUUAUUUUGAGCUAUUUACAGCAUUUAAUAAUUGAGCAAGGUAUACUCCUAUGAACAAAAUUUGGAGCAUGUUUGUCUCUCUCUGUCUGCCUGGCAUCUACAGAAUUUGGAAACUAGUUUCGUUCCCAGAUUUCCUAAACUUUCCAGAGAAAAUGGUCUUCUCCCUGGCUCAGCAAGAAGAUGAACUUUAAACACUGAGAAACUGGUCAUCUCCCUGGCUCAACCAGAAGAUGAACUUUAAACACUACUCUCAAUGACUUGAUGUUCCCAUCACUACUCCUGUCAUAAAGGGAGGGGACUCAGAUAUUGAGAAUUUUAUGAUAGUGUGAACUGUCUGGUAUGUCAUUUAAGUAAGCCCGUUGCUGAAAUAUUUUCCAUGUUAUUAGAAAGAGCUGAAGAGAGGGAUUGAGAUGGCUUCUUUAUUUUUUGUCUUUUGGGAAUUAAAGGAACCUGGUUCAACAAGGGCCUACACCUAAGUCUCUUGUUGUACCAGAGUACAAUUUAGGACUGCUCCUGAGGAAGGAAUUAGCUAGAAAUCUAGAGAGUAAGGGUAACAGAUUUACAUAGAAUAACAGCCUCAGUAUUUUUGGUUCCUCUCCAGUAAAGAUCACAAAGAAUAUUGCUAAAUCGCUAAAACACCUUUGCAAUAACGUAAGGGCUUACAACUAUAUACCAAUGUAGCUCAGUUACUAAACUGGAGUAAACUAAUUUCUCUUGUGUAGAAAAAUUGGUUGGCUGUGGUUUUAUAGCAGAUCUGCAAUUAUUAAUAGUUAUGCCAAUAAUCGUUUAACAGUGCAUAUGUUAAUAUAUAUGGAAAGACAAUGUGUAUAGACAGAUGUGUAAAAUUGAAAAAUAAACAUAUAACAAGAGAGAAACAUCUAUCGAACAGACAAUAUACAUACACAUCAAACACAACAGCAGUUUUAGUGACCAUAAUAUUUAUUUCUCAUUUUUACAUUGCUUACUUUAGUGACAACUGAAAAUGACAGUUGGCAAUGCAGCUAACAGUUUCAAUAAAAGUAUAAAACAAAAGACUGUGUACAAAGCACCUGUCUUUCCGCUUUUGUAAUCUUCCGUUGGAAAAAAUUUACACACCUAAGUAACCAUCUGUUUUCUUCAAGAAAAAAUCAUUCUUAUUUCUCUCUCUCAUCUUGAAAACAGCUGUCAGCCAGGAGGGCAGAGCUGAAAUUUAUUGCCACAUCACAUGAAGCAUAGAACAGACUCCACUACUCCUUGAGAUUCAAAACUUUGCCUCUCACAAAGUUACCUUUUAUUUUCCUCUUGUUUGUCACUCAUCUCCCCUAGUGUGCUCUUUUUAUUUCUUUUACUAUUAAUAAUAAAAUCUGUGGAUGACUGUA
rnacentral:lncRNA from 1 species